CCUACGGGUGGCAGCAGUGAGGAAUAUUGGUCAAUGGACGCGAGUCUGAACCAGCCAAGUAGCGUGAAGGAUGACUGCCCUAUGGGUUGUAAACUUCUUUUAUAAGGGAAUAAAACGAGUCACGUGUGCCUUUUUGCAUGUACUUUAUGAAUAAGGAUCGGCUAACUCCGUGCCAGCAGCCGCGGUAAUACGGAGGAUCCGAGCGUUAUCCGGAUUUAUUGGGUUUAAAGGGAGCGUAGAGGGGUUGGUAAGUCAGUUGUGAAAGUUUGCGGCUUAACCGUAAAAUUGCAAUUGAUACUGGCAGGCUUGAGUAUAGUUGAGGUAGGCGGAAUACGUGGUGUAGCGGUGAAAUGCUUAGAUAUGACGAAGAACUCCGAUGGCGAAGGCAGCGUACUAAACUGCGACUGACAUUGAUGCUCGAAAGUGUGGGUAGCAAACAGGAUUAGAUACCCGGGUAGUC
rnacentral:rRNA from 1 species